CAAUAGCGUAUAUUAAAGUUGUUGUGGUUAAAAAGCUCGUAGUUGGAUCUCGGCAGGCAGGGGGUGGUUCGCUCUUAGCGCUACUGCCCCAUUUGCCUGUGUGAUUGGCGGAGGUUUCGGGGUGCUCUUCGUUGAGUGACCCGGGGCGCCGUCAGGUUUACUUUGAAAAAAUUAGAGUGCUCAAAGCAGGCUUUUCACGCUUGAAUAUUCGUGCAUGGAAUAAUGGAAUAGGAACUCGUUUCUAUUUUGUUGGUUUUCGGAAAUCGAGUUAAUGAUUAAUAGGGACAAUUGGGGGCAUUAGUAUUCAGACGACAGAGGUGAAAUUCUUGGACCGUCUGAAGACUAACUACUGCGAAAGCAUUUGCCAAGAGUGUGUUCAUUAA
rnacentral:rRNA from 1 species